ACAACGGAGAGUUUGAUCCUGGCUCAGGAUGAACGCUAGCGACAGGCUUAACACAUGCAAGUCGAGGGGCAGCGGGGAGGAAAGCUUGCUUUUCUCCGCCGGCGACCGGCGCACGGGUGAGUAACACGUAUGCAACCUGCCUCAGACAGGGGGAUAAUCGGCGGAAACGCCGUCUAAUACCGCGUAAAAUCUCAGGGGACAUCCCUUGAGGUAGAAAGGCUUCGGCCGGUCUGAGAUGGGCAUGCGGCGCAUUAGUUAGUUGGCGGGGUAACGGCCCACCAAGACGACGAUGCGUAGGGGUUCUGAGAGGAAUGUCCCCCACACUGGUACUGAGACACGGGCCAGACUCCUACGGGAGGCAGCAGUGAGGAAUAUUGGUCAAUGGGCGCGAGCCUGAACCAGCCAAGUCGCGUGAGGGAAGACGGCCCUAAGGGUUGUAAACCUCUUUUGUCAGGGAGCA
rnacentral:rRNA from 1 species